rnacentral:lncRNA from 1 species
UAGAAAAUGUUUCCCUUACUUCCUUCUUAGAAGUUUUCUACAUUCCGGUUAGGGCGAAUUCAUUUUCUCAUUUUUCCUCUCAGAAAUUGAUCUCUUCUCUGGUAACAAUUUGAUUUCCUUCGACUUUCCUUUUCGAUUCGUAUUAUUCUUCAAUCCUUUUGUUCGAAUCUUUCCAUUUUGAUUUUCUGUGAUUCGUAUUAUUCUUCAAUAUUUCCUUUUCGAUUCGUAUUAUUCUUCAAUCUUUCCUUUUUGAUUUUCUGCGAUUCGAUUUAGCACUUCUUCUCUCAAAUCGUAAAAUCGUUCCUCUUCUCUCAAAUCGUUCUUCUUCUCCUUUGAAAUCGAUUUUAUUCAUCCAGUUUUGUUCAAUUUCGUUUGUCAUCUCACAAAAUCGUAAAAAUUAAGUUUCAAAUCGUUCUCCCAUCCCAAUCUCAAGUAAAUUUCGUUCUUCCAUCACAAUUUCUUCGAAAUCCAUUUCACUGGAUUAUCAGGCUCUAUAAAUGAAACCUUUUAUUCCAUUGAAUGAAACCUUUUAUUCUUCCAGAUUAAUAUUGCUCUAUAAAUUGUUCUAUACAUCUCUCCUAAAUAUUUGAAAGAGAACACACUUGUAUUAUGUUGAGCCUCAAAGAGUAGAAUAGUAGCUUCUCUAUGUGUCAUGUUUGUUUUGUGUCUUCUGAAGAUGAAAAACAUUCUUUUACACCAACGAAGAACUUCAUAUUAUGUUAUUUGAACUGACUUUUGCUUGUAGCCUAGCUCUGAUUUUUGAAGACAGAUUACUGGCGGUCAAAAAUCUACUUCUUUUUAUUGUCUUAAAUGAAUAGAAAUGAAUUUUUGAGACAUAUAGUUUGUUGGAUUAGAUAUUUUAGACUUAUACUGCAGCAAUAUCCACUGCUAUAUUGAUUUUCUCAGGUUUAUCUUUACUCAAAGUUGGUGGAAGAAUGGUUUAUUCAACAUGCUCAAUGAAUCCUAUUGAGAAUGAAGCUGUGGUUGCAGAGGUAAUCUACUUUGAGUGCUAUAUAGUCUAUACUGUUAUGUAGUCUUGCUAGUUGCUGGGUUGACAUAGAAAAGUGCUUUAGCAUAGUAAUUUGAAAACAAUUAAGCAAGUAUAGGCUUGCAAAUUUCAGCCACAAAAAAACUGCAACACGUUUUUCUUGCAUAAUUUAUUUAUUGUCGUCGUGUCUCAGCUUAGCCCCAAAAUCAGUUCAUUCCUCUUUCACUGGCAUAGCGUAUGCCUAGCUCACGGUACUAAGGUGAGGUGGUUGUUUGAAUUGCAGCUAUUUUGGGUUUAUUUUCCUAUUACCCCUGACUAGCCUUCUACCCUCACUCCCAACAUUUUAUUAAUAGUAUGAGUGCUAAGUGAUAUCUGUUCUGGUAGUAAAUCAGUAGGAAAUUGUGAGAACUUAUGGUGGGGGAGAAUACACCUGAAAAGAGUUUGAAAAGUUUUGUUGACCAAGGCAUCCGAUACGAGGUAACUGUUCCUUACACCGCUCAACAUAAUGGAUUAGUAGACAAAAGAAAUAAAAUAGUCCUAGAUAUGGUUAGAAGCAUAUGAUGAAACAAAGAAAUGUGCCUCAUUGGUUUUGGGGUAAGGCAGUAACCAUUGCAGCCUAUGUCCUAAAUAGAUAUCUGUUCUGGUAGUAAAUCAGUAGGAAAUUGUGAGAACUUAUGGUGGGGGAGAAUACACCUGAAAAGAGUUUGAAAAGUUUUGUUGACCAAGGCAUCCGAUACGAGGUAACUGUUCCUUACACCGCUCAACAUAAUGGAUUAGUAGACAAAAGAAAUAAAAUAGUCCUAGAUAUGGUUAGAAGCAUAUGAUGAAACAAAGAAAUGUGCCUCAUUGGUUUUGGGGUAAGGCAGUAACCAUUGCAG